rnacentral:rRNA from 1 species
AUUGAACGCUGGCGGAAUGCUUUACACAUGCAAGUCGUACGGCAGCACGGACUUCGGUCUGGUGGCGAGUGGCGAACGGGUGAGUAACAUAUCGGAACGUAUCCAAUAAUGGGGGAUAACGAGUCGAAAGAUUCGCUAAUACCGCAUACGCCCUACGGGGGAAAGCUGGGGACCUUCGGGCCUGGCGUUAAUGGAGCGGCCGAUAUCUGAUUAGCUAGUUGGUGAGGUAAAGGCUCACCAAGGCGACGAUCAGUAGCUGGUCUGAGAGGACGACCAGCCACACUGGAACUGAGACACGGUCCAGACUCCUACGGGAGGCAGCAGUGGGGAAUUUUGGACAAUGGGCGCAAGCCUGAUCCAGCCAUUCCGCGUGAGUGAAGAAGGCCUUCGGGUUGUAAAGCUCUUUCGCAAGGGAAGAAAACUUAGCCACUAACAUUGGUUGAGGUUGACGGUACCUUGAUAAGAAGCACCGGCUAACUACGUGACAGCCGCCGCCGUAA